rnacentral:lncRNA from 1 species
CACCUGGAAUGCUGAAUGGAAGCUUUACCAGGAGACUAUUGUUCGUAGCAGAGGUCUGCCUCGGGUAACAGAGGAGGCUUUUAUAAGAUAGAAAGUAUUGUAAGAUGUGAAUCAGAAGCAAACCAAUCCUAACAUGCUUCAAGAAAGGAGCAAUGCUAAUGUAACAUGUAAAGCUAUUUAAAAAAUGCUUUAAGAAUGAAUCAGAACAGUAUAAGGUACUGCAGCGAUUAAAUGGGAGUCUUACUUUCCAGUAACGGUUGUUGAACAUUUUGGAGAAGCUUUGGUUCAUGAACAGCAGUAUUGUUCAAUUCCAUCUGUCCAUCUGUCCAUCUGUCAUAUGUGGUAGAAAUGUUGUACCUAGGGCUAUCAUUUGGUAUGACUUAUCUAUUUUGGAUUCUCUCAAAAACCUCAUCCUUCUCUCUUUUGAGGCAAUUACUCUGUGUUUUGAGCCACAAGUACAUAAAGAAGUUUUGAAACUGAUCGUGGGUUCAUGACAAAUCAAAGUACAGAGUAUGGAACUUAGAAUGUAACUGCAUCAAAGUCCUCACAAGGAAUACUGCAAGCACCAAAAGCCAUGCUCCUGACACUUCCAAGAUCUUGACUUAUAAA